UAGAGGUAUGUGACUGUAGGUGGAGGUAUAGAGGUAUGUGACUGUAGGUGGAGGUAUAGAGGUAUGUGACUGUAGGUGGAGGUAUAGAGGUAUGUGACUGUAGGUGGAGGUAUAGAGGUAUGUGACUGUAGGUGGAGGUAUAGAGGUAUGUGACUGUAGGUAUAGAGGUAUGUGACUGUAGGUGGAGGUAUAGAGGUAUGUGACUGUAGGUAUAGAGGUAUGUGACUGUAGGUGGAGGUAUAGAGGUAUGUGACUGUAGGUGGAGGUAUAGAGGUAUGGGAC